rnacentral:rRNA from 1 species
CAGCAGCAGCCGCGGGAAUACGUAGGGUGCAAGCGUUAAUCGGAAUUACUGGGCGUAAAGCGUGCGCAGGCGGUUAUAUAAGUCAGAUGUGAAAUCCCCGGGCUCAACCUGGGAACUGCAUUUGAGACUGUAUGGCUAGAGUGUGUCAGAGGGGGGUAGAAUUCCACGUGUAGCAGUGAAAUGCGUAGAUAUGUGGAGGAAUACCGAUGGCGAAGGCAGCCCCCUGGGAUAGCACUGACGCUCAUGCACGAAAGCGUGGGGAGCAAACAGGAUUAGAUACCCCCGUAGUCCCUGUCUCUUAUAC